UUGUGUUCAGAUUCUGUUCCAUGUUACUUAAAACAUGAAUGGAAAAAUAUUUAACAUAAAAAUGAUUUACAAUGUUCCCCCUCUUUGAGAUGAUUCUGUAUUAUGAAAAGUGCUUGACAAAUGUAAUUUAUUAUUAUUAUUAUUAUUAUCUUAUUCAUCAUAGUUUAAAAGGCAAAACUGACUCUAGAUCAGCACUCCAACUAAGUGGGAAUACAGUAGUCCUGUGGCUCAGUUGGUAGAGUAUGGUGAAUGGGUCCCAAUGGGACCACCGGCAUGAAAGAUGUAUCCACACAUAAUAAGUCACUUUGGUUAAAAGUGUUUCUAAAUGGCAUAUCUUAUGAUAUAAUAAUAUCACUUAGUUGGACUAUACAGGUCCAGAUAUACAGGGUUUAUGUCAAACUUGUGUUCAGGUCCUCUUGGUUCUGGGUUUGUUGUGUUCAGGUCCUCUUGGUUCUGGGUUUGUUGUGUUCAGGUCCUCUUGGUUCUGGGUUUGGUGUGUUCAGGUCUUCUUGGUUCUGGGUUUGUUGUGUUCAGGUCCUCUUGGUUCUGGGUUUGUUGUGUUCAGGUCCUCUUGGUUCUGGGUUUGUUGAGUUCAGGUCCUCUUGGUUCUGGGUUUGUUGUGUUCAGGUCCUCUUGGUUCUGGGUUUGUUGUGUUCAGGUACUCUUGGUUCUGGGUUUGGUGAGUUCAGGUCCUCUUGGUUCAGGGUUUGUUGUGUUCAGGUUCUCUUGGUUCUGGGUUUGGUGAGUUCAGGUCCUCUUGGUUCAGGGUUUGUUGUGUUCAGGUUCUCUUGGUUCUGGGUUUGUUGCGUUCAGGUCUUCUUGGUUCUGGGUUUGUUGCGUUCAGGUCUUCUUGGUUCUGGGUUUGUUGCGUUCAGGUCUUCUUGGUUCUGGGUUUGUUGCGUUCAGGUCUUCUUGGUUCUGGGUUUGUUGCGUUCAGGUCUUCUUGGUUCUGGGUUUGUUGCAUUCAGGUCUUUUUGGUUCUGGGUUUGUUGUGUUCAGGUCUUCUGGGUUUGUUGACUCUACUAUAGAUCUCAGAAGAGUCCUCCUCAGCUGCUUGUGCUGCCGUGGGUCU
ensembl:lncRNA